GGAAAUAUCAACAAUGUUGACAUCCCCAGUUUCAGUGAGCACAGAAGAACAUUCAUCCUUUAAAACAGGAAUAUCUAAUUUGCUUGGCAUACCAACUCUGGAAACAAAGCCAGUGAGCGAAAACAGUACUCGGACUUUUGAAAGAAGUUGAUGAACUAGAGUGUGUGAAAACACCUGAUAAAGUGCGGUAUCAGAGUGCCUUGGGCUGUCUUUCAGCUAACAGCUACUCCAAAGACUCCACCAGGGCUGCAAAAGAGGUUGUUCCACAGCCAUUUAGUGAAGGCCUAUGGUAGAAGCAUAUUUACUGUGAAGCCGACAAAGCUGAAGUCUCAAGGCCCCUGACUGGCAUGGUCUCUUCCAAUGUGAACUUGGGAAUGUGAUCACAUGGUCAUGUGUUUUUGUGAAAUUUAUAAAAGUAAAUGUUUUA